rnacentral:rRNA from 1 species
GACGAACGCUGGCGGCGUGCUUAACACAUGCAAGUCGUACGGUAAGGCCCUUUCGGGGGUACACGAGUGGCGAACGGGUGAGUAACACGUGAGUAACCUGCCCACAACUUUGGGAUAACGCUAGGAAACUGGUGCUAAUACUGGAUAUGUGCUCCUGCUGCAUGGUGGGGGUUGGAAAGCUCCGGCGGUUGUGGAUGGACUCGCGGCCUAUCAGCUUGUUGGUGGGGUAGUGGCCUACCAAGGCGGCGACGGGUAGCCGGCCUGAGAGGGUGACCGGCCACAUUGGGACUGAGAUACGGCCCAGACUCCUACGGGAGGCAGCAGUGGGGAAUAUUGCACAAGGGGCGCAAGCCGGAUGCAGCAACGCCGCGUGCGGGAUGACGGCCUUCGGGUUGUAAACCGCUUUCAGCAGGGACGAAGCUUUUUGUGACGGUACCUGCAGAAGAAGCACCGGCUAACUACGUG